GCCAAGGCAAGAUGGGUCAAAGUCAGAGUGGUGGUCAUGGUCCUGGAGGUGGCAAGGAUGACAGGGACAAGAUAAAGAAAUAUGAACCUCCUGUACCAGCUAGAGCGGGGAAAAAGAAAAAGAAAACAAAGGGACAAGAUGCUGCCAGCAAACUGCCACUGGUGACAUCGAACACUUGGUGCUGGUUAAAAUGAUUGAAGUUGGAGAGAAUUUAAGACUAUCUUCUCAUGGGGGAAGAAUUCAUUAGAAAUCAGGAGCAAAUGAAACCAUUAGUAGAAAAGCAGGUGGAGGAAAGGUCAGAAGUGGAGGGUCUGAGGGGGACCCCAAUCGAACCUCGGAAGAGAUGAUUGCUGCCAACCACACCAUCGUGUCAUCGUUUGUGGGCUCCGAACACUAUGUCAACAUUCUUUCAUUUGUAGACAUGAAUAUCCUGGAGCCAGGCUGCUCAGCUGUGCUCACGCACAAGGUGCAUGGCAUGAUGGGAGUGCUGACGAACAACACAGACCCCCAGUCAUGGCAAUGAAGGUGGAGAAGGCCCCCCAGGAGAUCUGCACUGAUAUCGGGGAGCUGGACAAUCAAAUCCAGGAAACUAAGGAAUCUGCAUAGCUUCCUCUCACCUACCCUUCGUAUUAUGAAGGCCCUCCAAGGGUGUCAUCCUCUAUGGCCCGCCUGGCCCAGGUAAAACCCUGUUAACCAAAGCAGAAGCAAACCAAACCUAGGCCACUUUCUUGAGAGUGGUUGGCUCUGAACUCAUUCAGAAGCACCUGGGUGAUGGGCCCAAACUCAUAUGGGAAUUGUUUCCAAUUGCUGAAGAACAUGCACCUUUCAUCAUGUUUGUUGAUGAAAUUGACACCAUCGAGACUAAAAGAUACGACUCGAAUUCAGGUGGAGAGAGAGAGAUUCAGUGGACAAUGCUGGAGCUGCUGAACCAGCUGGAUGAGUUUGACUGAGGGGAGACAUGAAAGUGACCGUGGUCAUGAACCAAACAGAAACUCUGGAUCCAGCUCUUAUCAGAACAGGCCACACUGACAGUAAGAUCGAGAUCCCCCUGCCUGAUGAAAAGACCAAGAAGCACAUCUUUCAGAUUCACACAGGUUGGAUGAUGCUGGCUGAUAACGUGACCCUGGACGACUUGAUCAUGGCCAAAGACGACCUCUCCGGUGCUGACAUCAAGGUGAUCUGUACAGCAGCUGGUCUCAAGGCCUUGAGAGAGUGUAGAAUGAAAGUCCCAAAUGAAGACUUUAAGAGAUCUAAAGAAAAUGUUCUUCAUAAAAAGCAAGAAGGCACGCCUGAGGAGCUCUAUCUCUAG